AAGCUCGUAGUUGAAUUUCGGGGUUCUACCGUUGGUCGGGCUAACCAGUCUGUACUAGCGUGUAGAAUUCCUACCUUCUGGGGGAACCCAUCAUGUUAUUAAUUUAGCGUGGUGGGAAACCAGGACCUUUACCUUGAAAAAACUUAGAGUGUUCAAAGCAGGCUUACGUCUGAAUACAUUAGCAUGGAAUAAUAAAAUAGGACGGCAUGAUUCUAUUUUGUUGGUUUCUAGGACCACCGUAAUGAUUAAUAGGGAUAGUUGGG
rnacentral:rRNA from 1 species